rnacentral:rRNA from 1 species
UCCAAUAGCGUAUAUUAAAGUUGUUGCAGUUAAAAAGCUCGUAGUUGAACUUCGAGAUUCGUCCAUUGAUCAGGCUUAACUGUCUGUACUGAUGUUUCGGAUUUCUACCUUCUGAAGAACCUUCAUGUCAUUAAUUUGGUGUGUUGGGGAAUCAGGACUGUUACUUUGAAAAAAAUUAGAGUGUUUAAAGCAGGCUAACGUCUGAAUACAUUAGCAUGGAAUAAUGAAAUAGGACGGUACGGUUCUAUUUUGUUGGUUUCUAGGAUCGCCGUAAUGAUUAAUAGGGAUAGUUGGG